CAGAACUAAGGAAAUAUGCUUCUACAAGGCUGAAACCUCAGUUUUUAUACAUGAUGAUAUCAUGUCUUUGAGAGGGAAAUGAUAAACAUUAUGGAAACCAACAAGUUAAAUUUUGAAUGUGAUAAUAAAUAAUCCAUGAAAUGUUACAUUUUUCUAACUUUGUUCUGAUUUCCUUUUGUGUGCCUGACAGAAGAAGCACAAAAACUGGAUGCUGCCAAGAAAGCUGGAGAGGGUUCGGAGGUAGGCUGCUUUCGUUUCCUAUAAUUUAUAUGAACUUAUUACACGACUUGAAAUAAAAUAAAAUAAUUUGUGGGUUCAAUCUUUUCGUUGCAGUGAAUCAUCCGAAUGUCAGUUUGGGGGAGGGAGGAUGAUGAUGAUGCAACACACCCCCAGAAUACUUGUUUUUCAUCGCGUGUCUUUGUUAUGGUUUAAUAGUCUGCCUACCCAUCUUCCUUUAUUGAAUGGAGUAGUGUGUGAUUAAACAGGUGGUGUUAUUUUUUCAAUUACUACCUUAGCCUAGAUGGAAGAUUUGUGUGUACUCUCUCUCAGAUUGUUGUCUCUAGAUGCAACUUCUUGUGGAUUUUCCCAACUUAUUCUCAUCAAAGUUUAUGAAUAUGGAAU
rnacentral:lncRNA from 1 species